UGUCAGGUUUGAUCAGCAUGGAGACAUUGUGCUUCAUUAUAUACAUUUCCUUACUGAUGAUUGUAUCAGUAUCCCCUACGAAAGAUGAUUCUCCUGGUUUCUGGCCAGCAGCAAUUUUUGGAAGCCCCACUGUGAAAGCUGGGGGAGAUAUACGGCUAAAGUGUAGUAUCUUUGACAAAAGUGACUCUAUU